UUUAUUUAUAAAAUAUUGCAUAUGGAAUCUGAAGUGCUUUCAGCGCUCUCAAAUACAUUGCGAAUACAAAUACAUAUAUACCCUUUCAGACCCUUUCUUGUACGUUGAGUACCAGGUAUAAAAAGUGUGCCACAUUUUUUAAGAACAUUGAGUCUUCAUUCUGUUAGUCCUCUUAUGGCUGACACUGUGUUCUUUUGGUCAACAAAGUUUCGAGAGCUCUUAGCCUUUGGCGUGUAAGGUACGAAACGUGUCCCUGGCACGUGACAGUGCGGUUGGUCAGCGAAACUCAUGGACUUGGGUGUCCCUGGACUUGAGUGCACAUAAGCCUUAAAGCUGUCAAUACUCCUCCAGCCAAAGGGAUGCAUACCCAAUAAUCUUAGUGUUUGAAAACUUUUUCGCAUGGUGUCAACGCGAGGACCAACUAGAACAGUUUGAAGGGCUCCUUAUCUGGAUGCUUAUCCGUAGGGUCUCAAUAGCAGUUUAUAUAUUGCCAUUGCGUUGUAAUUUCGACUGCAAAAGGAGAAAAUUUCGCAACAAACUUUUGCCAUAUACCCACCCGCUUGGGGCGAAGAA
rnacentral:sRNA from 1 species